GGUCUGUCUGCAGCUCCUGCAGCCUCAAGAUGAAGAUGCCUUCGAAGAAGCUGGCCCACAUCCCCGUCUACGCACUCGGCUUCGAGAGCCUUCCUGGCUCGCUGGGCUCCAAAGCCCCAUCUGCACGGCGGAGAGAUGCCUUCCACUCGCUGCCCGGCGCCGGCGGACGCCGCGUGGAGGACGAGUUCCCGCACAUGUACGCCCAGGGCGCCCUGCUCCGCGACGUCUGCACCGACUGCACCGGCU